AUCAAUACUAGUAUGAUUUCUUAUGAGAAAUCUUUACUGUUAUUUUAUUCUCCUCUUCAAUAUUUAUCUCUCUUUUUCCUCUCUAACUUAAUUGAGCUCCCUGUUUCUCUCAUUUCUUUGGUCAGCUCACAUACAGCCUGCUAUUCUUACCGUGUUUUGCCCUCUCCAACCCGAACUUGAAGUAGCCCCUUUUUAUGUCCCUAAAAAUUUGUCUUUUCAAUGUUAAAUACAGUGUGUCAUUGAAACACUGAAUCAGUUAUGAUACUCUUGGAUGAAGUAAAAUGUUUUUAAAAUUCUCCAGAUAUUUUAAAAUUGUUCAUAGUCAAGUAUUAGGAACUAUAUACUCAAUUUGUAGCAAAUGUCUUAGAAAUUUUUUUAAAGAUUUAUUUAUUAUUACAUCUAAGUACACUGUAGCUGUCUUCAGACGCACCAGAAGAGGAAGUCAGAUUUCAUUACGGAUGGUUGUGAGCCACCAUGUGGUUGCUGAGAUUUGAACUCAGGACCUUCAGAAGAGCAGUCAGUGCUCUUAACCACUGAGCCAUCUCGCCAGCCCUGUCUUAGAAAUUUUAUUCUCAAUAUUUUUUUCUUUGUUCAAAUACAUUCGAAAACUGCUUGCCUGGCUCCCUACUCUUGGUGUGUGGUAGUGUUUGGGAGUUGUGGUCGGGGAUGGGAGUUGUAGAAUGUGCAAGUGUGUUCGCUUGUGUGUCUGUGUUUAUUUGCUUGUGUUUAGAACUUGUGUUGCAGUUACGAUCUUAAUCUUAUAUAUGAUGCUUUACAACUGUGUCUGUUCUGUCUCAAGAUCCUAGUAUAUGGCUAUGUUGUGUAAGCACGUGAUAGUAAUAGGCAGUGGUAUGUAUAAUCAGAUGAUCACAGGCGGAUGUUCAGCUGGGACUCCCGAAAUCACACCCUCUCUGUAUUUAGAAUCACUGUGUGCACUCAUUAUAAAUUGAGCCUGGAAUGAUUGGGAAAUGAUCAUCUUAAGAACAUAUUACUUAAAGGUCUAAUUCAUAGCAUGAGUAAUUUUGCGCCUUAGUUUUGUAGUUUGGCCCUAAGAGAACCUGCUGUGUUUUCUGAAGGUUCACAGUUACCCAGAUGUGAAAACAGAAUGACGAUAGAUCUCCUAAAAUAAAGGGAAUAAGUAAAAAAAGAAAAAUUGGCAUAUAUAUUACUAAUAAGCAUGACAAGACCAGGAAGCCAAGUAAUAAGGAACAGAAAUCAUUUAUAAAAGUCAUAUAUCUGUGUUAAAAUUCAAAUGUUAUCUUUAACAUUCACACUAACUUCUCUGAAUGUGAUCUAAUCACACAUAAAAUGGGAAUGUAGAAAUGGACAUAUUUUUACCUUACAAUUGGUGGGUCUUUAACAGUUAUGGAUAUCAUAGGAAAUUUAAAUACUUGAUCCAAUUUUCCUUUUGUUAAUGGAAUUUGUAUCUCAAAAAUUUCAAAAGUAAAAUUAGAGAAUCCAGAAGUUGCUUGAUAUAUUCUGAUCUGAUUGUUAAUGUUCAGAACAAUUAAAAAAAAAGUUAAUAAGUUUAAUCAGAUGUCCUGCUCACAGGCUGAAAGGUAAAGUCACUUGCCACCAAGCCUGGCGAUUUGAGUUCAACCUUGGAGCUCACUUGGUGGAAGAAAAGAAGGGAUUCCUCCAAAUGGUCCUCGACUUCUGUAUGCUAAUUGUGGACUCUUGCACGCUUGAUGAUUUCCGUCAAUGGCAUCAGGAGUCGUGCUUUUACAGACAGGAUACAUGAGGUUCGGAAGUCUAGUCAUACCUGGUUAAGAAUGCUUACAAGGGAAUGUGAAAGGGAGUACCUGAAGCAAGGGCAGCAGAGGAUGCAAGGGUUCAUUCACUCAGAAACAGAAGACAAGAGAUCUCUUAGGCGAAGCAUUGUUAAAACACAUGUGAAAGCAGGGUCCCCUGUGAAGGAGCUAGAGAAGGUACCCAAGGAGCUGAAGGAGCCCCGCAGGAGGAACAACAAUAUGAACUCACAAGUACCCCCAGAGCUCCCUGGGACUAAACCACCAAUCAAAGAAAACACAUGGAGGGACUCAUGGCUCUAGCUGCAUAUGUAGCAGAGGAUGGCCUAGUCGGUCGUUAAUGGGAGGAGAGGACCUUGGUCCUGUGAAGGUUCUAUGCUCCAGUGUAGGGGAAUGCCAGGGCCAGGAAGCAGGAGUUGGUGGGUGGGUGAGCUGGGAGAGUAGGGAGGGUAUAGGGGGUUUUCGGAGGGGAAACCAGGAAAGGGGAUAACAUUGGAAAUGUUAAUAAAGAAAAUAUCUAAUUAAAAACAUAUGUAAAAGAUUUACCUUGGAAAAUAAUUGUAAAGGAUACCACUGCCCAGAACUUACUGGUGUAUUGUUGUCACAUUGGUGUCUUCUACUUAGCAUAUGUCAACUGGCCAGAGUUAUACAGAAGCAGCUGAUCAACAUAAACCACAUAGAUUUGCUAUUCAAGUAAACAUGAUGACCUGAUUUGAAUGAGAGAGCUGUCAUUCUACGUACCAAUUGGAAAAGGAGCACAACAGGGCACAAUGCAGGGACUUUGACUCAGGUGCUGUCAAUCAUAGGUGGAGGAAAAGGGAGAAUGAAAACCUGUCUGUACCACAGUCUGCCUGGGUUACAGGCAGUCAUAGCAGGAAGAAGCUGGUAACAGAAAAUAGAUCUAUCUGGCUAUACACAGACACCACAGAGAGUGGAUAUUCUAAUAGCUCCAUUCUAGGAGUUGUGGACCAGGAUGGUGGUGGCCAUGAUUAUUUGCAUUCUCAUGGCAGUCUGGUAAUGGUAAAUGACCUGAAUCAUCACAAAACAACAGAAACCAGAGACUUGCCCUUGUAUGUGCAAGAUAAAAGUUUAGCUGAAUUACUGCCUCUGCAUGACUCAGAGUCUAUUUUCUGAGUAUAACCAGGUGUAGCUGCUUUCUGUUAGCAGAGACUGAGGGAAUGGCCAACAAAUAACUGGCCCAACUUGAGACCCAUCAUGGGCAAGCACCAAUCCCUGACAGUAUUAAUGAUACUCUGUUACUCUUGCAGACAGGAACAUAUUGUUCUCUGAGAGGCUCUGCCCAGCAGCUGACUCAGAUACAUACACCCACAACCAAAGAGUGGAUGGAGCUUGGAGACCCUUAUGGAAAAAUAGGAGGAAGGAUUGCAGGCCCCAAAGGGGAUAGGAACUCCAUAGGAAGAUAAGGAGAGUCAACUAGCCUGGACCCUUUUGGGGGUUCUCAGAGUCUGAACAACCAACCAAAGAACAUACACGGGCUGGACCUAGGCUUCCCUGCACAUAUGUAGCAGCUCGUCCUGAACAAUUGGAAAGGGGGCCCUCCCCAAAACUGUCACCUGUAUGUGGGUUAUGUUCUUGAUGGGCUGCCUUGUUUGGCCUCAAUGGAACAGGAUGUACCUACACAGAGAUUUGAAGUGCCAGGGUGGGGAGAUACCCAGGGGGCCCCCACCUACUCAGAGGAGAAGGGAAUCGAGGGAUGGAGGUAAGGAUUGUGGGAUGGGGAGAUGAGGAUGUGACUUGAAUAAGUAAAAUAAAUAAAUAAAUAAAAAAUAAAAGCUGAAAAGAAAACAAACAAAAAAACCCAGUCUAUUUCUCUCCAUGAGCUGUGGAAUUCAUAUCUCAAAGACUUACAAAAAAACUAAUAAGAAUUUAUAUUGAGCUACAAAAGACCACAAAUAGCCAAGACAAUCAUAGUUGUAAAAAUAUUGCAUAAAUAUUACAAUACCCAAUCUCAAAUUUUACAUAAGAUGUAAUGAUAAAGACCGCCUGGUACUGUACUAACAAAAUCGACAGAUGAACCAAGAGAAUAGGAAAGAGGAUCCCAAAGCCGAACAAGAAAAUCACGAUCCCUUAAAUUGCUACAAAGAAGACAAAGACAUGCAUUGGAAGAAAGACUAAUGGUUCUGUCCAUGCAGAAGGAUGAAACUAGAUAAUACCUUUCACUUUAUACAAAAUAAACUUUAAUUGUAAAACUUAUCAGAGGUGUUGAAGACUACCUUCAUUAUAUCUGAGUUGAGAUCAUGAAGUCAUGGGAAGACACAGAUAUUACACAAUCCAUCCAGGGUAGUGACACUUAGCAUGACAUAUAUCUUUGUGGAACACACCACUGAGGAAGAGCUGAUGAGAAGUGUUAUGGAGUUUGUUUGAGUGUCUGCAGCAAUGCUAGUCCUAAUAAACACUGUUUUCUGGUAAUUUUUUUAAUUAGGUAUUUAUUUCAUUUACAUUUCCAAUGCUAUCCCAAAAGUCCCCCACACGCUCCCCCACUGACUCCCCCACCCACCCACUCCCACUUCUUGGCCCUGGCGUUCCCCUGUACUGAGGCAUAUAAAGUUUGCACGACCAAUGGGCCUCUCUUUUCACUGAUGGGCGACUAGGCCAUCUUCUGAUAUAUAUGCAGCUAGAGACACAAGCUCCGGGGGGGUACAUAUUGUUGUUUCACCUAUAGGGUUGCAGAUCCCUUUAGCUCCUUGGUUACUUUCUCUAGCUCCUCCAUUGGGGGUCCUGUGAUCCAUCCAAUAGCUGACUGUGAGCAUCCACUUCUGUGUUUGCUAGGCCCUGGCCUAGUCUCACAAGAGACAGCUAUAUCAGGGUCCAUUCAGCAAAGUCUUGCUAGUGUAUGCAAUGGUGUCAUCGUUUUUAGGCUGAUUAUGGGAUGGAUCCCUGGAUAUGGCAGUCUCUAGAUGGUCCAUCCUCUUGUCUCAGCUCCCUAUUUGAUAUUCUUAAAGGGAGUACUGGUCUUAUCUUCCCUUGAACUUUAACAUUGGAUGGAUUAUUGAUUUCACAAAGAGUAGAAUGAGCUAUUAAAAACAAUUUGUUACUUAUAUAAAUUAUUCUUUGCCUUUAUAUCUGCUGAUUUUUAUAAUGACUCAUACACCUACAGAAUUAUUGUGGCAAAAAGCUCCUCUUACUUGGAUAUUAUGACGCAGUGGCUCAUAUGAUAAUACUUCGAAGAAAACAGACACUGGUUUAUUUUGACAAAGAACCAGACAUCAUUAUUCAGCCUGUUAAUGUGGACCAAAAUAUUUGGCUAAAACAGCAUAGUACAGAUUUGUUGCUUGCUCAAAUAGGAUUUAAAGGCAUUAUAGACAAUCAUUACCCUCUAUAUAGGUUGAUAAAAAUUUUAAAUGUACAUAAGGUUUUAUUUUCUAGUAUGACAUCUUUACAGCCUCUACAUAAUGUUCUUUUAAUUUUUACUGAAGGCUCCUCUAAAGUACGUGCAGGAUAUAUCAUAACUAAUCAAGAGGUAGUCAUAGAGACUGCUGGGCUCUCUGCUCAGCUUAACAGCAGUACUAUAUGUUUUUCAGUCUCUAAAUGGUGGCCUGACCUUCAUUUUGAUCUCUUUCAAUUCAUAGCAGGCCUAGUUUCUUAGGACAUACCUAACCAAUUACCCCAUAGGGGUCUACCUGAUUGUGAUGGAAAAGAGUCCUGCUCCCCAAAGUCUUGCCCAAAUGGAGGUUUAGAUGGAAAUUUGAGAUGUGGACAUUUGGUGCUUAGAGUCAAUCUAUGCACUUAUCUUUUUUAUGUAUGUCCCCCUGGAUGGAAGGACUAGAUCCCAGGCUCAUAAUUCUGGAGGUGCAGAGGAUUUUUCUGUCCUGCCUGGGGAUGUGAGACCACAGGAAAAGUUUAUUGGAAGGCCCAAGAAGAUUUAAUUAUAGUAGCAAGGAAUUGAACAGGAUCUGGCCUGUCUAGUUCUAGUUAUAAAGGUACUGACCAUUAUUAUUGUUAUAGCCUUAGUUGUGCCUCAGUUUUAUUGUCUGGGUCCUGGACAGGAGUAGGAUCUUGCAUCAUCUCUUCUUGUAAUCUCACUAUAGUGAAAUUCACUGAGUCUGGCAAAAAGGUUAGAGAAGACUGGCUUAAAGGAAGGACUUGGAGACUUAGAUUAUCUAAAACCGGUUAUGAUGAUGGAUUAUUCUUUACCAUUAAGAUUAAAACUGAACCUAUCUGUUUUUCAUUAGGACCUAAUAAGAUCAUAUAAAUAAGCCUUAAAAGAGGAAUGAUAAAGAUAAAAAGAAUACUGCUGAUAAUAGGAAUACUGCUUCCCCAUUUUCUUCUCCAGUGUCUGGUAUCCCUCGUAGUUGUAUAGUUGCCACUACUACCUUUCCUACAUUUGCGACUCCCCUUACAGAAUUAAUUGUGGGCAUGUUUCAUGUGCUUAAUGAUACUUAUCCUAAUGUCACUCACUCAUAUUGAUUUUGCUAUGAUAUAGCCCCUCCUUUUUAAGAAGGUAAUGCUUUAUUAUCCAGCAAUGUUUCUUACUCUAAUAGCUUUUCUGAUUGUUGAUGGAAUCAGAAAUCUGGCAUAGGUCUUUUCUCUACAUGUUUCUGGACUAGGUACCUGCAUAGUGAAAAUUCAUAAAGGUAAAAGAGAGCUUAUGCAAUCAAAUGCUUACUGUUUCUACCUCUUCAUUCUAUUUUAUUCCUCCAAAGGCGGGAUGGUGGGUUUAUUCCACAGGUCGUAACCCCUGCAUUCACAUACAAGCGUUUGAAAGCUCCAAAGACUUUUGUGUGUUGGAUCAACUUACUCCUAGGCUCACUUAUCAUUCUUAUGACAAGGUCUUGGAUCACUGGGAUGGAGGCUUCUCUCACCCGAGAGAGAGCUUGCUACAGCAUUAACUAUUUCAGUACUACUGGGCCUCAGUGUGGGAGGAACAGCUACUGGUGCUUCUGCCCUAGUUUUGUAAGGAAAAAGCCAUGCACUUAUUAGAACUGCAAUAGAUACAGCUAUAGAAAAGACAGGAUAGACACUUCUAUUUCCCAUUUGCAAGAGAAUCUAAUCUCCUUCUCUGAAGUUCUCCUUCCAAACACUAGAGGAUUUGAUAUUUUAUUCCUUCAAUAGGGAGGACUAUGUGCAGACCUCCAUGAAGCAUGUUGCUUUUACAUCGAUCAUUCAGGAGUAGUAAAGGAUUCUAUGGCUAAAGUUUGAGAAGGUCUGGCCAAAAGGAAAAUUAAAAAAGAACAGAAUCAGGAAUGGUUUGAAUCCUGGUUCUCCACUUCCCCAUGGCUUACAACUUUCAUUUCUACACUGCUUGGACAAUUUAUUAUAAUUUAUUUUGAUGCUUUUAACUUUUGGAUCUUGUAUUUUAAACAGAUCAGAUGCCUUGAUACAGGAUUGCUUUCAGCAAGCUCAGCUAUUCACCAUGGCAGUUAUUAAUCACUAUGAAGAAAUGCAUUUACUGUAUAAGCAGCUCUGAAAUGUCAUUCAUGGAUCUGGUCUUAUUUGAAAAGAGUGCUAUAGAAGACCAGUUAGCCAGAGACAGGAAGACAAUUAAGAGUGUUCUUGAGCUCCUAUUGACCUAAGGCAGAGACAUACAUCAAUGCUAUGUUGGCUCUACAUGAUAGGUAAGGAGCAAUAUAGACACUAACCUAACUAGAACUAAGCAGGUCAGGAAGCAAGAGCUGAUGAAGAGGCUAUGGAGGGAUGUUACUUAUUGGCCUGCUUCCUCUGGCUUUCUCAGCUUGCUUUCUUAUAGAACCCAAUAUUACUAGCCCAGAGAUGGUACCACCCACAAGGGGCCCUCCCCUUUUCAUCACUAAUUAAGAAAUUGCCCCACAGCUGGAUCUCAUGGAGCCACUUCCCCAACUGAAGCUCCUUUCUCUUUGAUAACUCCAGCUUGUGUCAAAUUGACACACAAAAUCAGCCAGUACAACUGAUCCCUUGUCAACUUGAAACACAAACACAUCACUAUUAAGCCUCAACCUUUACUUUCUUAUUCAUCCUCAAGAUAUAAAUAACUUUAAAAGUCCUACAGUCUUUACAUAUUAAAAAGAACAAUCCCUUAAAAAUAUCCAAUAUCUUUUAAAAUUCAAAGUCUUAAAAAUUCCAAGUCUCUUAACUAUGGGUUCCACUGAAAUACCUUCUUCCUUCAAGAGGAAAAAAUAUCAGGGCACAGUCACUAUAAAAAAUAAAAUCAAACUCCAACCAUCCAGUGUCUGAGAUGCACUCAGAAUCUUCUAGGCUCCUCCAAGGGCUUGGGUCACAUCUCCAGUUCUGACCUUUGUAGCACACACCUUGUCUUUUAGGUUCCAGCUGCCUGUACUCCAAUGCUGCUGCUGUUCUUGGUGGUCAUCUCCAGUUCUGACCUUUGUAGCACACACCUUGUCUUUUAGGUUCCAGCUGCCUGUACUCCAAUGCUGCUGCUGUUCUUGGUGGUCAUCUCAUGGUAUUGGCAUCUCCAAAACACUGUUGUCUUCAGCUGCAACUAGGCUUUGCCAAAAGCCUAUUAUAGGAGCUCUUCACGGUUCCAAGAUUCAACUCCUUUGCAAGACCCCUUCAGUUCUGGGCCAUCAAUUGCAACUGAGGCUGCACCUUCACCAAUGGCCUUCCAUGGCCUCACAGUGCUGAGUCUCAGCUGCUCUUCAUGACCCCUUCAAAACCUAUUACCACCUGAGUGAUUCUUACACAUUACCAUGUCCAGCUGCAGCAGUAGGUAGAACAACCUUGGCUCUAUCUGGAACACAGCCUCUUUGUGCUCUGCGAAAACACUUUCCAGAAGUUUUUACCUCAAUGAUGCUGGUCUCUUCCUAAUCAUCACUAAUUUCUUAGCUGAAGCUAACCAGCAUCAAUAGUCCCAGUAAUGCAAAGUUUUCAAUUUAGUAGUUCUGGUAUCUUGUUUAUCACAGCUGAUUCUUCAGCCCCAGAUAACCAGAACCACAGAAUCUUCACAAUCAAAAUAGCAACAAUCCAUAAGAGACUUUAAUCUUCCCUCAGUAAUUUCACAAGCCAGGUCUCCAUCUUCUGCACUGUUCUCAAGGUUAUCUUCCAAGCUCCUACAGAACAUUCCACAGAGUUCUUAGCAUCCCAAUAGCUCUUCUAGUGCAAAGUUCCAAAGUCCUUCUACACUCCUUCCCCAAACAUGGUCAGGUUGUCACAGGAAUGCCCCACUAUGCUGGUACCAACAAUGUCUUGGUCAGGAUUUCUAUUCCUGCACAAAACAUCGUGACUGAGAAGCAAGUUGGGGAGGAAAGGGUUUAUUCAGCUUACACUUCCAUGAUGCUGUUCAUCACCAAAGGAAGUCAGGACUAGAACUAAGCAGGUCAGAAAGCAGGAGCUGAUGCAGAGGCUGUGGAGGGAUGUUCUUUAUUGGCUUGCUUCACCUGGUUUGCAUGGCUUGCUCUUAUAGAACCCAAGACUACUAGAACCAGGGAUAGCACCACCCACAAUGGGCCCUCCCCACUUGAUCACUAAUUGAUGAAAUGCCUUACAGCUGGAUCUCAUGGAGGCAUUUCCUCAUCUGAGGCUCCUUUCUUUGUGAUAACUCCAGCUUGUGUCCAGUUGACACACAAAACCAGGCAGUACACCUGGCAACAGACAACCAAGAAAUGCCUCAAAGUCACAUCACACAACAAACCUAACACAAGAGAUAUAUUGGGAGGGACAACCCCAGGAAGGUGGCUGCCUGACUAGAAGCAGAAGAGAACUGGGCAGAACCAGAUAUAGAAGAUCCAGGCUUUAAAGUAUGUGCCUACUUUCAACCACUUGAGGAUCUGCAAUAAACCUGGAAGGUAUAAUAAGAGCAGAGCUCAGCACAGCUGUGUAUAUUUACUUUAUUUUGUUGUUGCUGUGAGAAAACAACUGGCAAGAAACAAAGAAAUACGACAUGCCUGUCAUCCUAAGAGCAGGCAGCGAGGAGAAGAUCAGACAUUCAAGGUCAUCCUUAGCUACAGUACAAACCAAAAGUAAAUGAAGACAGGAAAGAAAGAGAAAGAGAAAGAAAGAAAGAAAGAAAGAAAGAAAGAAAGAAAGAAAGAAAGAAAGAAAGAAAGAAAGAAAGAAAGAGAGAGAAAGAAAGAGAGGAAGGAAGAAGAGAGAAUGGAAGUAAAAGAUGGCAACAGGUAUUGAUGGAGGAAAUACAGAAAAGAUGAAAAGAGGAAGGAAACAAAGGAUAAAUGUUAUAAUGUGUAAAAGUUACUAGUGAAUAUUGAUGAUGUGCUUGCUUUAACUUUAGUUCCUUUUUUUUUUCCUUUUAAUUCAUCCAGGGCCCUAAUCCCAUGUAGGGCAACACCCAAGAUUGUGGUGUGCCUUCCCUUAACUCUCUAGAACUCCCCUCAGUUAGCUGUUUGGACAUUCCCUAAGUCUCUGCUCCACCUCCUUUGCCUGCAUUUCUUGUAGACAGGAUUUUAGGGUUGAAACUUUUGAGGGUGGGUUGGUGUCUCUAUUGCUCCACUGGGGUUCCUGCCUGGCUACAGGAGACGGCCUCUCCAGGUUCCAUACCCCAAUUUCGUGACUCACAGCUAGGGUAAACUCCACUGAUUCUUGGGUACCUCCUUUAUCCCAGUGUUUUUUGUUUUUUGUUUUUUGUUUUUUCUUUUCCUGUAGAUUUCCCCUUCCUUCUCUCCCAUAAAUUGUAUAUUUCCAUUCAUAUUCGUGGCCAUCUAGCCAUCUCUCCUGUUCUCUCCACACCUGAUGUUGAAGCCGCCAUUCCAUCCCAUCUCCCUCCCUCCAUCUGCUGCUUAUGACUAUUUUGGUUGAGCUAGGUUAACCUCUUUUAUAAGCUGCUUUAGACAUAGUGUUUUACUACAGAAACAUAAAAAGCACUUUUGUAAAUAUAUUUGCAAAACAUAGAACAACCUUCAAUACCUACUCAAAAUCUUUCAAAAUAAAAAGCAUUAUACCUGGAUGAGCUAUUUCAUAUAAUUGUUGAGGAAUAUAAGUGCAAACAAAAUAAACAAGGUUUACUGUGUUUGCAAGUGCAGACAAAAGAAAGAGGCACAUCACAUCGUAAUGCUUGAAUGGAUUGUUGGCACUUGUCACUUUUUUUUGUCUAAUCUUUUAUAACUGAAUGUUAGUGUGACAGCUAUACAUAUCACAAAUCCAUUACAGUCAUAGAGUUUCUCUCCAGGAGAAAUACUUUCAUGAUGAUGAAGAUGGCAGAAAUGUUCAAAUGUUUGACCAUAUUAAAUAUAUUCAAGUUUUGCCCCAGUAUGAAUUAUUUCAUGAUGACAAAGGCUUGUGAAAUAUGAAAAGGCUUGAUCUGAUGUAGUUAGUGUACAUUCACAGUUUCCCUUCAGUAUGGAUUUCUUACAUAAAGAUGAAGACGAUAGAAAUGUACAAAGGCUUCACCAUAUUAAAUAUACUCACAGAGAUUCUAUACAAUAAUGUUUCUUUAGUGCUCUGAAGAUGUCUGACAUGCCAAGACUAGAUCACAUUGAUUACAGUCAUAGGGUUUCUCUCCUGUAUGUGUUGUGUUCUUUUAUGAUACUGCAGACCACUUUGACACUUGAAGGGUUUACCACAGUGCUUACAUUCGUAGGGCUUCUCUCCAGUAUGUGUUCUUUUAUGCACUUGGAGAUUACUGUGAUUUGCAAAGGCUUUGCCACAUUGCUUGCAUCCAUAGGGUUUCUGCCCAGUAUGUAUUCUUUUAUGUUUUAGGAGAAGAGUGUUUCGAGCAAAGGCUUUAUCACAUUGGUCACAUUCAAAGGGUUUCUCUCCAGUAUGUAUCCUUUUAUGUAUUUGAAGAUAACUGUGAAGUACAAACGCUUUACCACAUUCACUACAUUCAUAUGGCUUCUCACCAGUGUGUGAUCGUUUAUGAUUCAGGAGACUAGCUUGACAUGCAAAUGCCUUAUCACACUGAUUACAUUCAUAGGGUUUCUCUCCAGUAUGUGUUCGUUUAUGCUUUUGCAGACCACUUUGAAACCCAAAGGCUUUACCACACUGCUUACAUUCAUAGGGUUUCUCUCCAGUGUGCGUUUUUUUAUGCACUUGGAGAUUACUAUUACUUGCAAAGGCUUUGCCACAUUGCUCACAUUCAUAGGGUUUCUCUCCAGUAUGUGUUCUUUUAUGUGUUAGGAGAUGACUGUUUUGUGCAAAUGCCUUAUCACACUGGUCACAUCCAAAGGGUUUCUCUCCAGUAUGUGUUCUUUUAUGUAUCUGAAGAUAACUUUGAAGUACAAAGGCUUUGCCACAUUCAUUACAGACAUAGAGUUUCUCUCCAGAAUGUGUUCUUUUAUGAUACAGGAGACUAGUUUGACAUGCAAAGGCUUUAUCACAUUGAUUACAUUCAUAGGGUUUCUCUCCAGUAUGUGUUCUUUUAUGUCGUACAAAAUGGUUGCUUUGUGCAAAGAAUUUACCACAUUGAUUACAUUUAUAGGGUUUCUCUACAGUAUGAAUUCUUUGAUGCCUUCGAAGAUGACAGCGAAGAGCAAAGGCUUUAUCACACUGGUUACAUUCAUAGGAUUUCUCUCCAGUAUGUGUUCUUUUAUGCUGUUGCAGAUCACUUUGACAUGCAAAGGCUUUACCACAUCGUUUACAUUCAUAAGAUUUCUCUCCAUGAUGUGUUUUUUUAUGCUGUUGGAGACCACUCUGACAUGCAAAGGAUUUACCACAUUGCUUACAUUCAUAGGGUUUCUCUCCAGUAUGUGUUCUUUUAUGUAAUUGGAGACUGCUGUUUUGUGAAAAGGCUUUACCACAUUGGUUACAUUCAUAGGGUUUCUCUCCAGUAUGAAUUCUUUCAUGCCUUUCAAGAUGACUGUGAUGUAUAAAGGUUUUAUCACAGAAUAUACAUUCAUAAGGUUUCUCUCCAGUAUGCGUUCUUUGAUAUAUUUGGAGAUUAGUAUAACAUGCAAAGUCUUUUCCACUUUGCUUACAUUUAACAGUAUGCAUUCUUUCAUGCUGUUGAAGAUGACUGUGUUGUGCAAAGUCAGUACCACAUUGAUUACAUUCAUAAAGUUUCUCACCUGUAUGAACUCUUUUAUACCUUUGAAGAGAAUUGUGACAUGCAAAGGCUUUACCACAUUCAUUAAUCUUAUAGUGUUUGUCUCCACCAUGUGUUCUUUUAUGUAUUUGGAGACUACUGUGAUAUGCAAAUGCCUCAAGAUAUUGAAUAACUUCAUAGGGUUUCUCUCCAGUAUGAAUUUGUUGAUGCCCCUGAGGAUGGCUCUGAUACGCAAAGACUUUACCACAUUGAGUAAAUUCAGAGGGUUUCUCUUCAAUAUGACUUUUUUCAUGCCUGCAAAGAUAAUUGGUACAUGUGAAAUCUUCUCACAUUCAUUACACAUGAGUCUUUUUAUCUGUGUAAAUUAAUUUUAAAAUUUGGUCAAAUUAUAAAGAGCAAUCUGAUAUUAAGGUAUUAUAAG
rnacentral:lncRNA from 1 species